AAAACGGCCCUUUUCAGGGCCACUAGAGCAUUCCCUAAAAGAGUUGU
rfam:Aedes aegypti strain Liverpool supercont1.98 genomic scaffold, whole genome shotgun sequence.